GCCGGGGUGACGGAACUGGUAGACGUAGCGGACUUAAAAUCCGCCGCCAUUUAAACACGGCGUACGGGUUCGAUUCCCGUCCCCGGCACCA
rnacentral:tRNA from 1 species